rnacentral:lncRNA from 1 species
UCACUUUGAAAAAUAUAUAUGGGUUAAAUUGCUCUGUCUUUUUAAAAGGACCAAGUGUUCAAUUUUAAAAUUGAGAAGGACCGGAGAGUUAUUUUUACUUAAAUUCUUUCACAAAAUAUAAUGUUCAAGCCCAAUAAUGUCCGGCCCACUAAAAAAACCAAAUUAACAGCCCAAUUGACCCAAUACACUACCCAACCUAAACCCUAGCCCAAUACACCUAAAACAACAGCAGCGAACUUGGCGCCGCAACAGCCUCACCCUCCCACGCCUCCGCGAUUGUCGCAGCACGGCCCUCCGUGCGAGCGCGCCUCUUCAACGGCCACCAAACCUGCGAGAACAUAGCAACAAACGCUAACGAAACAGAAUGGCAAAGGGAAACAUAGUAGAUUUUUUUUUUUUAUUUUUUCCUUUUCUUUUCCAUUUCGGCUAUUUAAAGCCAUGAAAUCUGUAACAAAAGGGGGGAGACAAAUUUUGUACCAACGAAAUUAAGGAAAAUAAAAAGAAAAUCAGAAAAAACAAAAAGUUUCUUUGAAGGUGAUUAUUUUGUUUUUCUUUUUACUUUUACUGUCUUUUUUUGAUGUUCUUCUUUGUUUUUUAAAACAAAUAAAUGAAGAGGGAGAGAAAAGAGACUUACCGGCGUUGAGUAGUCAGAGGAUCUUCACUUCGUCGUCAUCGGAGUUGGAGGCUCCAUCUCCAGAGGCGGCGGCGGCAGCGCAAAAGAAACCUAGGGUUUCUCUGCUAUUUU